CUAAAAUGAACUUUCUUCCUGAUUCCUACACCAUCUCCGAGUACUGGCCAAAAAAGUAGAGGAGGAAAAGUUGGUGCAGGAGUAAGGCUGCCUUCUCGAAAAACAGAAGUUGGCUGAUAUAGAGGUCUGUCCAGUAAGCUGCACUGGUACACAACGUCCAUGAAGAAUGUCUAUUUCAUUCAGUUCAAAAGCCCUACCACUGAGAAUAGUCCCUGACACGCAGUAGGUAUUCAAACCAGAUUAGGUGGUGAGGCCAGCA